GCUUAGAGAGGGGUCAAUGUCCUAUCAGCUAGUUGGUAAGGUAAUGGCUUACCAAGGCUAAGACGGGUAGCCGGCCUGAGAGGGUGGUCGGCCACACUGGGACUGAGACACUGCCCAGACUCCUACGGGAGGCUGCAGUCGAGAAUCUUUCGCAAUGCCCGAAAGGGUGACGAAGCGACGCCGCGUGUGGGAAGAAGGCCUUCGGGUUGUAAACCACUGUCGGGAGUUAAGAAAUGUAAGGGUGUUAAUAGCAUCCUUACUUGACUAAGGCUCCGGAGGAAGCCACGGCUAACUCUGUGCCAGCAGCCGCGGUAAUACAGAGGCGGCGAGCGUUGUUCGGAAUUAUUGGGCGUAAAGAGCACGUAGGCGGCUUUGUAAGUCAGUUGUGAAAGCCUUCCGCUUAACGGAAGAACAGCAUCUGAUACUGCAAGGCUAGAGUGCGGAAGGG
rnacentral:rRNA from 1 species